UACGUAGGGGGCGAGCGUUGUCCGGAUUUAUUGGGCGUAAAGAGCGUGUAGGCGGCCAGGUAGGUCUGCUGUGAAAACUCGAGGCUCAACCUCGAGACGUCGGCGGAAACCAUCUGGCUAGAGUCCGGAAGAGGAGAGUGGAAUUCCUGGUGUAGCGGUGAAAUUCGUAGAUAUUGGGAAGAACACCGAUGGCGAAGGCAGCCAUCUGGACCGGCACUGACGCUGAGGCGCGAAAGCGUGGGGAGCAAACAGG
rnacentral:rRNA from 1 species